rnacentral:tRNA from 2 species
GUAUGUGUAGCUCAAUGGAUAGAGCGUUCCCCUCCGGAGGGAAAGGCUGGGGGUUCGAUUCCUCUCACAUACG